ACGCCUAAUACAUGCAAGUCGAACGAAGUAGCAAUACUUAGUGGCAGACGGGUGAGUAAUAUGUAGGUAUCUUCCCAUUGGUGAGGAAUAACACGAGGAAACUUGUGCUAAUACCUCAUAAGUCUUUACGGAGAAAGCUUUAUGCGCCGAUGGAUGAGCCUGCACUUGAUUAGUUUGUUGGUAGGGUAAUGGCCUACCAAGACAAUGAUCAAUAGCUGAUUUGAGAGGAUGAUCAGCCACAUUGGGACUGAGACACGGCCCAAACUCCUACGGGAGGCAGCAGUAGGGAAUCUUGCACAAUGGGGGAAACCCUGAUGCAGCGAUGCCGCGUGAGUGAAGAAGGCCUUUGGGUUGUAAAGCUCUUUCGUCGGGGAAGAAAAUGACUGUACCCGAAUAAGAAGGUCCGGCUAACUUCGUGCCAGCAGCCGCGGUAAUACGAAGGGACCUAGCGUAGUUCGGAAUUACUGGGCUUAAAGAGUUCGUAGGUGGUUAAAAAAGUUGGUGGUGAAAUCCCAGAGCUUAACUCUGGAACUGCCAUCAAAACUUUUUAGCUAGAGUAUGAUAGAGGAAAGCAGAAUUUCUAGUGUAGAGGUGAAAUUCGUAGAUAUUAGAAAGAAUACCAAUUGCGAAGGCAGCUUUCUGGAUCAUUACUGACACUGAGGAACGAAAGCAUGGGUAGCGAAGAGGAUUAGAUACCCUCGUAGUCCAUGCCGUAAACGAUGUGUGUUAGACGUUGGAAAUUUAUUUUCUGUGUCGCAGCGAAAGCAAUAAACACACCGCCUGGGGAGUACGACC
rnacentral:rRNA from 1 species